rnacentral:rRNA from 1 species
UUAAUGAGAGUUUGAUCCUGGCUCAGGACGAACGCUGGCGGCGUGCCUAAUACAUGCAAGUAGAACGCUGAAGCUUGGUGCUUGCACCGAGCGGAUGAGUUGCGAACGGGUGAGUAACGCGUAGGUAACCUGCCUGGUAGCGGGGGAUAACUAUUGGAAACGAUAGCUAAUACCGCAUAAAA